rnacentral:pre_miRNA from 1 species
AAAAAACGAAUUUCUGUGUUUUUAUAAAAUUUUUGACUCUUCAUCUUAUUUAAAAUUUUCUAUGAUUAAUAUUUUUAUAGUUACUACAUUAUAAAACAUAAAUAGUACUUUACAUACAACUAUUUUUUUUAAUUUCUUAAUAAAAUUUUCAAAUAAGACGGAUGGUCAAACGCUCGAUAUACAAAAACCAG